UAAUAACCAAUUUCUGUAAAGUUGCAUAUAGUAGAUCAUUUUUCGAAAAAUAAGGUCAUAAAGAAGUUUUACUUCUUACGUGUGUACACUAGUACACGCACACAUUUUUUACUAAAAAGUUGUAUCGGUACCUUAGGAACUUUUCAAUUUUGUAACGACUUUGCUAUUGUUGAAAAAAUAAGACUGACGUUAUGAAUUUUAACGGAGUACUUUUUGCUAAACGUUUUUGUUAUCUAACCUUUACAAGCACGUCAGCACAAUGUAUUUAUAAGCUUUAAAAACUAAAAUAAAUAGACCACGACCACAGACGCGAGAUACUGACUGUAUUUGCAAAAAUUAUGUUGUAUGUGUGUAGU
rnacentral:misc_RNA from 1 species